GACGAACGCUGGCGGCGUGCUUAACACAUGCAAGUCGAACGGAAAGGCCCUGCUUUUGUGGGGUGCUCGAGUGCCGAACGGGUGAGUAACACGUGAGUAACCUGCCCUUGACUUUGGGAUAACUUCAGGAAACUGGGGCUAAUACCGGAUAGGAGCUCCUGCUGCAUGGUGGGGGUUGGAAGGUUUCGGCGGUUGGGGAUGGACUCGCGGCUUAUCAGCUUGUUGGUGGGGUAGUGGCUUACCAAGGCUUUGACGGGUAGCCGGCCUGAGAGGGUGACCGGCCACAUUGGGACUGAGAUACGGCCCAGACGCCUACGGGAGGCAGCAGUGGGGAAUAUUGCACAAUGGGCGGAAGCCUGAUGCAGCAACGCCGCGUGCGGGAUGACGGCCUUCGGGUUGUAAACCGCUUUCGCCUGUGACGAAGCGUGAGUGACGGUAAUGGGUAAAGAAGCACCGGCUAACUACGUG
rnacentral:rRNA from 1 species